rnacentral:rRNA from 1 species
AUACGUAGGGAGCAAGCGUUGUCCGGAAUUACUGGGCGUAAAGGGCGCGUAGGCGGGAUAUUAAGUUAGGUGUGAAAACUCCGGGCUCAACUUGGAGACUGCACCUAAAACUGGUAUUCUUGAGGACAGGAGAGGAAAGUGGAAUUCCUAGUGUAGCGGUGAAAUGCGUAGAUAUUAGGAGGAACACCAGUGGCGAAGGCGACUUUCUGGACUGUAACUGACGCUGAGGCGCGAAAGCGUGGGGAGUGAACGGGAUUAGAUACCCCGGUAAUCCACGCCGUAAACGAUGGGUACUAGGUGUAGGAGGUAUCGACCCCUUCUGUGCCGGAGUUAACGCAAUAAGUACCCCGCCUGGGGAGUACGGCCGCAAGGUUGAA